rnacentral:rRNA from 1 species
GAUGAACGCUGGCGGCGUGCCUAAUACAUGCAAGUCGAGCGAACAGACGAGGAGCUUGCUCCUCUGACGUUAGCGGCGGACGGGUGAGUAACACGUGGAUAACCUACCUAUAAGACUGGGAUAACUUCGGGAAACCGGAGCUAAUACCGGAUAAUAUAUUGAACCGCAUUGUUCAAUAGUGAAAGACGGUUUUGCUGUCACUUAUAGAUGGAUCCGCGCCGCAUUAGCUAGUUGGUAAGGUAACGGCUUACCAAGGCAACGAUGCGUAGCCGACCUGAGAGGGUGAUCGGCCACACUGGAACUGAGGCACGGUCCAGACUCCUACGGGAGGCAGCAGUAGGGAAUCUUCCGCAAUGGGCGAGAGCCUGACGGAGCAACGCCGCGUGAAUGAUGAAGGUCUUCGGAUCGUAAAACUCUGUUAUUAGGGAAGAACAAAUGUGUAAGUAACUAUGCACGUCUUGACGGUACCUAAUCAGAAAGCCACGGCUAACUACGUG